rnacentral:rRNA from 1 species
UAACACCUGGAAACAGAUGCUAAUACCGGAUAACAACAGAUGAUGCCUAUCAACUGUUUAAAAGAUGGUUCUGCUAUCACUCUUGGAUGGACCUGCGGUGCAUUAGCUAGUUGGUAGGGUAACGGCCUACCAAGGCGAUGAUGCAUAGCCAAGUUGAGAGACUGAUCGGCCACAUUGGGACUGAGACACGGCCCAAACUCCUACGGGAGGCAGCAGUG